CCACCAAUCAUGAUGUAUUUCCGAUUGUAACGGUCCCCAAGGUAACCAAAGAGCGGUGCCAAAAGCAAGAAACUGCAGAUGAAAACUCUUUACUCAAUUCCCACAUUGCUCAGUUCCACUGGGGGCUCAGAUGCAGGACCCUGCUGUGGUGGAGGAUCUCCUGGAGGAAAGGACUGCCAGCGUCACCCAAGAGAUGCAUGACUGUUGUCUGGAGAGCCUCAGCUGUGGAUCUUCUUGUUGGAA